rnacentral:rRNA from 1 species
UACGUAGGAUGCAAGCGUUGUCCGGAUUCACUGGGUGUAAAGGGAGCGCAGGCGGGUUUUCAAGUCGGUGGUGGAAUCUCACAGCUUAACUGUGAAAUUGCCGCCGAUACUGUUUACCUUGAGUGUGGAAAAGGGUGAUAGAAUUCAUGGUGUAGCGGUGAAAUGCGUAGAUAUCAUGAAGAAUACCAGUCGCGAAGGCGGUCACCUGGUCCAUUACUGACGCUCAUGCUCGAAAGUGUGGGGAGCAAACAGG